ensembl:lncRNA
CUAAUAUACACUGCCCAGGGGGAUGGAUCAGCCUCUAAUAUACACUGCCCAGAGGGAUGGAUCAGACUUUUGACAUGAAAAAUGUCCAUUAACACCAAGAGUUCCGCAACUCAAUAAUAUCUAAUAUUGCCUUCAGUCAUCUCAUCCCCAUUAAUUGCAAGCACCCUGAAUGUGUACUUCACUCCAGCAGUCAGCUCAGUUAAGUUAAAGGCGGUCUCAUUGGUAGUUUCAUUCAUAUCUCUACUGCCAUCAAUGCAUUCUACACAGACAAGGCAACUUUCAAAUCAUCACCUUCUUGGAUCCAAACAACUAACACAUCAAUAAAUACAAAUAGUAUCUGUGGCAUUGAAACAAUCCAACACUAAAGUAUCUGAGUUACUUACUUGUAUACUUAGAAACUGUCUUGCUCUGUCCUACAGUUGUGUUAUCUCCAGCCACUGCAGUGACUGUGAAGAGGUACUGCACUCCAGCAGUGAGAGCAGUAACAUUAAAAGAGGUUUCUGGGGUAUUCUGACUGCCAUUGGUUUUGCCAUCAGUCCAUUCUACUCUGUAGAAGGAUCUGUUUCCGAAUGGUUCAGUCCAGCUCAGAGACAC